AGUACAUUGCUUGCUGUUAUUUUUUCUUCUAAUUCAAUUCCUCUAACUUAUCCUGAGCUCUGUCAAUUUUCAGGAACUAUACCUCUGUCUUCAAGCGUUGUCAUGAAUUUUGGAUUGUCAGCUGAAAACACAAACAGAAAAACAGCAGCUGCAGGCAAGAGGUAAUGCUUCACUGAAAGAAGAAACAGAUGAAAAGAAAAUAAGAAAUCAGGGAAGAAUCCAUUUCAUCCCAAAGAUCUGUAGCUCCACCUAGAGGAGGAGCUAGGAGAAGGAAGAAAAGGAGGAGGAGUGAAAGGAGGAGGAGGAAGAAGAGGAAGGUGUCUUCACACCUCUGCAAUGAGAAGCUGAGCAAGGACGGAUGCUGCAGGAGCAGCGAAGGGGAUCCUUCAUGCGGUCCUCCCUCCGCAGCUCCUAACUUACGGUCCCCUUCCCUUAGGGUACCGGCGGUGGGGCGCCUGGCCCUGAGGGGCGGGCAGGUGAGGCGAGACCUGCUGGGCUGCUCGGGGACCGGGAGGGAAGAGGGGAGGAAGGGGGG
rnacentral:lncRNA from 1 species